AAGAUUAGAAGGAAAUAAAGACAUCAAGAUGCAAACAGCCUGAGUCUACUAAGACCAGUUGCCAGUGCUUUGGAGAGAGCUGUCCUUGUGCUGAAGAUUUUGAUAUUUACACAGCCUUCUGGAGUGCAAGAGAGAUCAGAGCACCAAAAAAUCCAAACUGUUGCAAGUUCCAGCUACGGGUAAAGCUUAAAGUACAGCGUUCAAUCUGUUUCCUAUGAUAGUUGCAUUAUGGAAACCUCCUGCUGUUCUCCAGUGAAAGAUGAAACAUGGUGGAUGUUUCUGCACAAAAGCUAACUUUGAUGAUCUGCAACUUAUUUCUCUGUGGCCAUAUUGCAGAUUCCAUCAGCUAUCAGCUAUGCUUCGUAUAUUUCCUCCAACAAGUUUGAUAGAUUUUAUAUAGAAAACCAUCACCACUGUCCACUCAAUAGUUUCUAUGGUAGGUUCCUGUAAAUUAAUUGUUCUUUUACUUCAGAGUAAUAUAUUUGACAAGUUUGCAUCUUUUUGGGAAUAUUGCAAAUUUUAAUAUUUUUGCUGUGAAAUAUUAAGAAUAGUAUGAAACAAGCUUAAGACCAUAAGGUUCUUUAUAAUUAUUACUGUCCCUUUUAUACCAUGAGACAAAUAUUAGUGUUUAAUUUUCACCUUGUAAAAAGAUAUUGCUCAAGGAAAUUGAUUUGAAUAAGAACAAUAUACUUCAUUGUAUUAUUUACAUGUUUGUUUAUAUUUUACUUCAGCUAUAUCUCUUUUAUAAAGCAUUACAUGUAAAAAAAUACUAACAAAAUAAACUAUCAUAUGUUCCAUUCCAUGUAAUAAUAAUAUGUCCUUGCAUAAGGAUAAAGUGAUAGUAUUUUCAGAGAUAGUGGGACUAAACUCCAGUGCUGCAUCCUCCUGAGCUGUAGAGGAUUUUUGAUUGCUAUUAGAGUUUUGUAUUCCUGUCUCAUCUGUAAGCAUCUCAGUAUGGCAAAUUGAAACAGAAUGAGUGUUAUUACUACUUUACCAAAUUGUUCAGGUUUUAAAAUUCAUUAACAGCAAUUGUAAGUUUCACAUAGAACAUAAAACAGAUUGUACAUUUACAGAUGGCUGAAUGAGUAUUUAAACUAUUAAAGCCUUUUGCAUUAUUCUUUA